rnacentral:rRNA from 1 species
CAAAGCACUUUGAAGAGAGAGUUAAAGAGGACGUGAAACCGAUGAGGUGGAAACGGAUAGAGCCGGCGAAUCUAUUUCGUAUUCAGCUAGUCAACUUGUUGACUGGUGCAUUUGCGGAAAGAGUGCGCUGAGUGGCAUGGUGUAGCGGUUUGAUGUUGGCGAAGAGGAUAUGCUUCGGCGUAUAACCUUCAUCUUCGUAAAGCUGUUUGCGCUGUGUUUAAAGACUAUGGCCUACGUGAUAUGCUGGUAGCUUUGUGGGGUUGAGUGGCGGUCGCUUGCGACACGUGCUUGAUUCUGUUUGGUUAUUAGCCGUUCACUCUUAGUCUAGCUCGGUGUAAAAGCCGGUCAUCUAUCCGACCCGUCUUGAAACACGGACCAAGGAGUUUAGCGUGUGCGCGAGCCAUUGGGUGAAAAACUCAAAGGCGUAAUGAAAGUGAAGGCCACUCCGUGGUUGAUAUGCGACCCUAUCAAUCGAUGGGAGCAGCAUAGCCCCGUCUCUAUUGCUUGCAAUGGGGCGGAGGUAGAGCGUAUUCGCUGAGACCCGAAAGAUGGUGAACUAUGCCUGAGCAGGAUGAAGCCAGAGGAAACUCUGGUGGAAGUCCGAAGCGGUUCUGACGUGCAAAUCGAUCGUCUGACUUGGGUAUAGGGGCGAAAGACUAAUCGAACCAUC